GAAACCUCAUCUUGCUCACGCGCCAUCCGGGUGCUGAGCAGUGUUUUUCCUGAGGGAAAACACGAGCACUCCGCUCGGAUGAGGAGAGAGU
rnacentral:ncRNA from 1 species